rnacentral:rRNA from 1 species
UGGGGAAUAACUGUUGGAAACGACAGCUAAUACCGCAUAAUAUUGCUGGAUAAUUUCCAGUAAUGAAAGGAGCUUUCAAGCUCCGCUGAUUGAUGAGGAUGCGGCGCAUUAGCUAGUUGGUAGGGUAAUGGCCUACCAAGGCAAUGAUGCGUAGCCGAUCUGAGAGGAUGAACGGCCACAUUGGGACUGAGACACGGCCCAAACUUCUACGGAAGGCAGCAGUAGGGAAUUUUUCACAAUGGGCGAAAGCCUGAUGGAGCAAUGCCGCGUGACUGAUGAAGGUCUUCGGAUUGUAAAGGUCUGUUGUAAGGGAAGAAAUGGUAAAACAGGAAAUGGUUUUAUCUAUGACGGUACCUUACCAGAAAGCCACGGCUAACUAUGUGCCAGCAGCCGCGGUAAUACAUAGGUGGCAAGCGUUAUCCGGAUUUAUUGGGCGUAAAGGGUGCGUANACGGUUUUGCAAGUCUGANGUUAAAUUUAGGAGCUCAACUCCUAAUCGCCUUGNAAACUACAAGACUAGAGUAUAGGAGAGGUUAGUGGAAUUCCAUGUGUAGCGGUGGAAUGUGUAGAUAUAUGGAGGAACACCAGUGGCGA